CUCUCUUAGACCUCAUUUAAGGUCUGACUGUCACAGGGGAAAGAUUUUUCUCUGGACAUUCCUCUUUGGGGGAGCUUUUCUGCUGUAAACUUGGAAUCUUCUGAUACAGAAGCAAAGUUGAUGCCCUGGUUUGCCGUGGGGGAGAUGAGCAGCAGGUUACAGCCUGAUGGUUGGAAGUGAAGGCAGUUGUUUGGUUCCAAAUAAUGUGAAAUGAGGAAAAACCAAAGAAAAUGCCAUUUCUUCUGAACGGAUUUUGAAGUAGAUUCUCUUUCAGGAACACAUCUGGAUCACUAAAUCCUUUAAACAACAGCUACAAUCAUGUAGCUUCUUUCUGGGGAAGAAAAAACAAUCCAUGCGAUAAACCAGCUGCCUUAAACAUAGCUUUCAGUGUUCAAGUGCAACCUCCAGGAAUGUUGCAAAUCAGAUUGGAGGCAGCACUGAGCAGAGCAGUCCUGCUUCACUAGUUGUACUAGCAGGUAGUGGGAAAACUGGACCAGAUCAGGGUCUCAUGCUUAAAGAAUAAUUGUACAUUUUAGUCACUGCAACAUCGUCUGCAAGCAGUGAAUAUGUUUCUAAAUGAAACUAUAUCUAUCUUGAGGAACUGAUAUAGCAGUGGUAUCAUGAACACAGUGCAAAGCGAUUUAUCUUGCUGAUGAGCUAUGCCUGACACAUAUUCUUCAGUUUCCCACUCAGAAUGUUCAAAGAUAAUUCAAUUAUUCAGGUAUUGCCUUGAAAAUGGUUGGACUGCAGAGGGAACUGUUGGCCUAGAGUCCCCUGAUGUACUACUCCUCAGUUAAGAUCCAAAGUAAUGUUAGAGAUUUCUAGUAGUUUGAAGAAAUUUAUAGAUAUUACUAUAUUAAGUUGUCAUUAGAGGUAAUAAUGUAGUGGGUUUGAGCAUAUACCUCCCAGUGCCUUGUCAGAUAAUGUGUGCACUAUGCAAUGAAAGACAAAUAGUCUUCUGGAAAGAGGUGACUUGUCUUGUUUUGACAUCAGUUUAAAUCUGUAAAAUGUGCUCGGCUCUCCUGCAGUUUUCAUACUUAGUAUUUGGUGCACAGGUUCAGAACCAGGUCCUUAACCUCCAAUUGACCUGCGUUCAACGUUUCAAAAAAAUCAAGGUAUAAAUUGAAUUUUUCUACUGCCUAUAUGUGGAUAAUAAUUUGAACCCAUUUUAUUUUCUCUUCCUUUGUUUGUUGCUCACAAUCUUAAUUGCUUGACUUCUGUCAUUCUGCAAUAGUCAGAUGCAAGAGCUUUGUAAUGUUUAGCCCUUGAGCCUGACCUUCCAAACCCUGCAAACUCAAAAGGAGAGGAAAGAGUUUUAACAGGAUUUAAUUGGGAUCGUCUUUGCCCAUCAGCCUCUUCCUGCUCUCCACCUGGGGGGGGUUUUGAGCUGAGGCCCUACUAACUGGUGGAGACGGAAGGGUGGAGAGAAGCAGAUAUCUCCACGUCAGAGCCGUGGGGCUGUCAUUCUGGGUUACUGAGAAGACAGGAGAUGGUGCCUGCAGGAAACAAAGAUGCUUCCCACCUGUCCUGAGCUAAUGAGGAUGUUUCUGAUGUCAAUAAAUGUUUCCUGAUCACAACAAAAAGCAAGCAAUCUUCACAACCCACUCAUGGGCAAGAGGAAAACAGACAAAGUAGAGGACAGAUGUGAAAGAAUCACAGAAUAGGAUGCAGGGAUGGGAAGAGAGGUUAUGUGGAGGAGAAGGAGAGGGAAAGAUUAAAGGAAGGAAAAGAGAAAGUAGAACAGGGCAAGAGAGUAAAAAUGGAAUUCUUGAUGGAGGGCAGUGGAGAAAUAGGUGGCAAAGGACCUGAGAUAAGAAAUGUUGAAAGCAAGCACGCUGGAAACGGACAAGAAGAGCUAAAAGAAUGAAGAAUGCUGCUAACAGGUGGAGGGUAGUGUUUAACCUAAAAUAACCAUUUCACUGAAGAACAUGAUCAAUGAGAGAUGGAGCACGGCUCGUGAGAGGAAUCUUGGGUAUAGAGAAGGGAAGAGUCGGGGAGAAAGUACUUCUGGCAUGUAGUGUUUAAUCAUACCUUGGAAAUAGUAUGAGCAAAAGAAAGACACCUACUUCAAGUUAAAAGACAGGAAGAGAAAGUGCAAAUAGGAAACCUGAACCAGGCAUUGUUUGAUUGUUGCUAGUGGGCUCAAAGGCUGCUUGGUUAUAGUUUGAAUGCAUCCUGGGAGUAGAGCAGGGAUGAGAAACAGGCAAGCUGAGUUCAGGGUCAUUCAAUAUAGAUGAUUGUUAACUCUGUUUUUUGGCUUGAUUGCUAAAACUCAAGAUGGACUUGGCCUUGGUUGCUCAUUAUCGCAUAUUUUCUUUCUAGAAUCUGACAAUAUGUUUCCAAGGUAACCUUUGGAAUAGAAGAACAGUUUUGAUAAAUCUAGUCUGUGAGCUGGAAUUGCUCAUUUGUUUGUAGAAAAGGUGCCAGUGCACUGUUUGAGUUCUGUGCAUGUGUUUCUGAUGUUGUUAGAGAACAUCACUAAUGUGAAGGGGAUUUUGUGAACAGGUGUAUAAUGCAGAAUUUGAUCCAAAUAUCUUGGAAAAAAUGACAUUUGACCUUGUGAAUAAGCAGAACGCUGUUCAUGUAAUAAGUCGCAUAGUUCAAAUUCAAUACAAUCAGAUUGUAAAAUAACAAACUAAAAUGAAGCUCCACGACUUUGCUGUUCAUACAGCACAAUGUAGUUUCAAGCAUUAUUUUUUUUCUUUUUAACAAGUCUUAUGCUCCAUUUGGUAGAAUACUAUUCUCAAACUGUGCCAGUAGGAUUUUUCAAAACCAUCUAGCUCCAAAAAAUCCCAUCUUUUGCAGAUGGAAUACUAUGUAUACCUGCUUAGAUCUAAGCCUUCCUUUCCUAAGACACUUCAGUGAUUGGUGCUGGACUACUCAGCUGUCAGCUGACCUAAUCUUUCAUGAGUACUCUGUGCAUUCUCUUGUAUUCUUGUUAAAUAGUUUUUUUCUUUCUGCACAUCUUUCUGUCUGUGCAAUUUUGAAAUA